rnacentral:rRNA from 1 species
UACGUAGGGUGCAAGCGUUAAUCGGAAUUACUGGGCGUAAAGCGUGCGCAGGCGGUUAUGUAAGACAGAUGUGAAAUCCCCGGGCUCAACCUGGGAACUGCAUUUGUGACUGCAUCGCUGGAGUGCGGCAGAGGGGGAUGGAAUUCCGCGUGUAGCAGUGAAAUGCGUAGAGAUGUGGAGGAAUACCGAUGGCGAAGGCAGCCCCCUGGGAUAACACUGACGCUCAUGCACGAAAGCGUGGGGAGCAAACAGG